CAGAUUUCCUUCAUUCUGAUUUCGUAAUGGCCGAAGCAAUCGAUUGAACCGCGUUCGUAUACAUGAAGCGACAUCUCGGUUAGUUGAAACAUGUCAUCAUGAAUUAUUGGGAAUAAAAUUGCAGAGACCAAACCAACAUGCAGAGCGACGCUACAAAGAAUUUGAUGAAAAUAAGCGUAAAAAGCAAAAAAAGUGUCAAACAACAAAUUCUGACGAAGUCGAUUAUGAUUCAGAUCAGUCAUGGUGGUCGUCAAGCAGCGUAGAGGAUGCAAUCUAAUGGAGCAUUAAUGAAUUGACUGACAACAGUAAUGAUAGUAAUGAUAGCGGUAGUGGUAGAGGUAGCGACGACGAUGGGGAAAACUGAUAUUAGCAUCGUUCACACAAUGGCCAUCGCUCAUUAAGAUCAACAAUCAAUCAAAUAAAUCAAUGAAAAAUUAAUUUAGUUUAAUUUAAUGAACAAUGUUAAUAGUUCUUAUCAUGAAGUCUGGCUAUAUUUAGCGUGGACUUCCGUAUUAUCUAACCGAUAUACAGUAUGAAAGAUUUAUAGAAGUUAUAUAAUUGAUGCUAUAAAUCAAAGAAAAACGGAUUACUUUCUGUUCCUGACGUUAACUUUGAAGUCAGCAUGCCCCAAAUCCCUUGUCGUGUUGAAUGUGUUUUAUUUUGCUUACGAUCUAUUGCAAUACGUUUUUUCUUUGCUAAAAUCAUAUCCAUCGUUAACAACAACCGUCUUUCGAGUGUUAACACAUCCGUUUGUGAAACAGGUCGUAUGAAAUAUGUCAUACUCGUAUAUGGAUAAUUGACAGCACCAAAUCCAGAUAAAAUGGCCAUUACUGUAACACCGAUUACUCCAAUUCGAGAAACAGCCUAAAUUGAAUAGAUAUUCAAAUAAAACUUCUUAAUUAAAUCUAAAUAACAUUCGAAUAAUGAUAGAUAGUAUAAACUGUUGUCAUAUGAUGUUUCUUUUAAAUAUUAAAUCUUCGAUAGUAAAUUUACUUGUUCAAUUCUGAAAACCCCAUGGGAUACACUCAGUGAUAAUAAUGGGAACGGGUCACCGAUUCGCCAAAAUCCAUACAAAAACAAAAUCCAAACGCUCAAAGUUAAUGGAACUACCC